AUAAAUGACGUAAUGUAUCGGUAUGAGCGCGUGUGAUUGGUUGCCUUUAUUUGUCUCAUAAUGGCCGCUCUGUUUGCACACAGUUGCUUCCCGUCUAGCAUUUUUGACGAAAAUUUUGGUAAUAUAGCAAGGGAAAUGUGCCAGUGUUUAGCUUUUUUGACUCUGACAUCUGCCUGGCAGGGAAAAAAUGCUUAAGCUUGGACCAGACAGAGAUCUUUUGUAUGGAUUUCUUCUCACAGAAACAUCGUUGGAGCAGAUUGAUGCCUUGUGAUUUAUUUGAAUCCAUUUAUAGUAUUACCAAUGCCUUUGUAUGGAUAAAUGGACUGAAGAUGGCCUCGUUUCACGUAUCGUUUCCAUUUUUUUCCAAAACACCCUGAUGUUGGAAAUGUACACAAAGGAAACCGUCUAUAAGAUGCUCAAAAAUUCUUGUUCUCUAAACAAGUGUAUUUGCCAGUUGGACCAAGCCUACAAAUCAGGGAUUCCGUGAUAAAGUAUAUACAGCCAAAGCUACGAUGCCGAGGACAGUAGAGAUAUAUCCCUAAAACAAGUGAAAUUUAUAAUUUUAUCCUAAAUUUUUAAUCUCUUUUUUAGUAGAUGAAUGUUGGUGCUGUUUUUUCAUUUUUUUCAUUUUUAAGUUCUAUUUUAUAUAUAAAAUGAUUUCGUCUAUUUUUUUUCCUCAAUGCAAAUUCAACUACAAAGUGUCUGUUCUUAUUUCAAUUUAAAAAGUCUUAAUAACACAAUAGUCGGACCCUUUUAUAUUACCAAAUCUGUACAUUCUUAUCAAUUCUUGUGUGCAAAAUUUGAGAGAAUUGUUCUAUUAGUUUGUCAUUUUUAUUUCUAGUGAAAUUUCAUAUUAGAAAGUGCAAUAGAAUGAAUAUGCAUUAUGCACAAUAAUUUAGUUAGUGAUUUUGAUCUAAAAUAAAAGUUUAUCAAAAGUUUAUUUGGAAACUGUUUUGAGCGACAUACCUAAUGUGAUUAUAAAUUACAUCAGCUUUAUUGACAUUAAAUCGCAAAACUGCAAAAGAUGCAUGAACCUAACUGUACUACCACAGACGUGGUUGUGCAAAAUAUUUCCUUGUCUAAUAUUGUUCUGACUGAUAUUUACUUAGUCGUUGUAUUUAUGAAAUAGAGUAUAAAUUAUAUAAUUAUACUUUUGAUAAAUUAUUAAAACUAAUUA